GGCGCCUGUUUAACAAAAACAUGUCCUAUUGUAUUAUUUAAUAGGUCUGGCCUGCCCAGUGAUAAUUUCAACGGCCGCGGUAUAUUGACCGUGCAAAGGUAGCAUAAUCAUUAGUCUUUUAAUAGGAGGCUGGAAUGAAAGGUUUAACGAGAAAUUGACUGUCUCAAUUACAAUCUUGAAUUUAUCUUUUGAGUCAAAAGACUUAAAUAUAAUUGGUGGACGAGAAGACCCUAUAGAGCUUGACAAUUAUUUUUUUAUAUUUACUUAGACUGAAAUUAUUUAUUUAUAUUAAAAAGAUUGUUUUGUUGGGGUGACAAUAAAUAUAUAUUUAACUUUUAUCAUAAUAUUAACAUUAAUUUAUGACUUUUGGAUCCAAAAAUUUUGAUCAUUAGAUUAAGUUACCUUAGGGAUAACAGCGUAAUCUUCCCUCAGAGUUCAUAUUUACGGGAAGGGUUGCGACCUCGAUGUUGGAUUAAGAUAAUAAUUAGGUGCAGUAGCUUAAUUAAUAGGUCUGUUCGACCUUUAAAUUCUUACAUGAUCUGAGUUCAGACCGGUUUAAGCCAGGUCGGUUUCUAUCUCCAAUUUAAUAUCAGUUAUUAGUACGAAAGGACCAUAAUUGAAAAAUAUUUUUUAUGUUUUGAAUUUUAUU
rnacentral:rRNA from 1 species